rnacentral:rRNA from 1 species
GUGGGGAAUCUUAGACAAUGGGCGCAAGCCUGAUCUAGCCAUGCCGCGUGAGCGAUGAAGGCCUUAGGGUUGUAAAGCUCUUUCGUGGGGGAAGAUAAUGACUGUACCCCAAGAAGAAGCCCCGGCUAACUCCGUGCCAGCAGCCGCGGUAAUACGGAGGGGGCUAGCGUUGUUCGGAAUUACUGGGCGUAAAGCGCACGUAGGCGGACUGGAAAGUCAGGGGUGAAAUCCCGGGGCUCAACCCCGGAACUGCCUUUGAAACUCCCAGUCUUGAGUUCGAGAGAGGUGAGUGGAAUUCCGAGUGUAGAGGUGAAAUUCGUAGAUAUUCGGAGGAACACCAGUGGCGAAGGCGGCUCACUGGCUCGAUACUGACGCUGAGGUGCGAAAACGUGGGGAGCAAACAGGAUUAGAUACCCCAGUAGUCC